UACAUAGAGGCUCGUAUACUUGGCUUGAAUCGGUGUACCUAUUUAAGAGGACGAUGAUAGACAGACGCCUCAUUCGAUUGGCGACGUUUGGACAAGACACAUCGGACAGGAAGAAAUCCAGCGAAGAUACCGGCAACCCGAGCGAACAGGACUCGGUGUUUCAACAGUGAAAGCGGACGGCUUCUCGGGCGGAUUGGCUAGCGUUCCCCUUGGCGAAAAGAGUACGGGAGUAUCGCAAACAUGCAGUGUUACGACACCGAAGUUCGUUGAUUUGGGGAUAUGAGACGGUUAGAUGUGGACUACUAAAGGGAAAACGAGAAUUCGGUUCGGUUCUGAGUAGUCCAAUAUGGGUUCGUAAUGCGAUUUCCGGUUUCUUAAAUCCAAAAUCUCGUAUCUGAGGAUUAACAGUUUCUCUGAUCAAUCAUUUCAAUUUGAUCAGUGGAAGAGAUCAGAGUGGUUAAAUUUGUGUAGUUCGUGUUCGAAACAGGUAUUAGCGCAGUUAGGAGUUAGUUGAAAGUGCGGAGACUUUGCGUGCAAGUGCGAAGACCAUCAAAAGCCGUACGACGGCUUUUAAUUUCAGAUUUUGCGCUUGGUGAAGCUACAACCGCACCGCCAGCAAAGUUCAUCCGUCCUCCUGCCACCACGCCUGAUCCAUCUGCUCGUGACCGUAUGGUUAGUUACCAUCAAAACGAAGGACACAACGAUUCCACGUGUCAUCUGCGGCCAUCGCAAAUUCGCCGCGUGCCGGACUCUGCUCCGUUUUUUGUUGCUGGUAUGCUGUUUUGAGGUCCAACACUACCAGCAGUUACCCUUCAACCCGAGGACCUCACCCGGAGAAUCUGCGCUAGGAAGCGCAAAUAUCGACAGCGACACAUCUGCGCGGAAUUAGUACCGUGCGCAGCAAUACGACGUAGCAGGUAGCAGAAAGAAGGCUGGUCGACUAAUAAGAGUGAGUAAACGCCUAAAUCCCUGCGCAGGGUGAUAUAAAAGCUCCGAAAUUAUAGUACCGUCCAGAAUCUCCACCCGCACUUGCUAGGGCCCUGAACCGGGAAAUAAAAAAUGUAAUUUUUUUCGUAUGUAGGAAAUGUAAUUAGGAGUAAGUUAGGAUAAUAUAUGUAGUGUGUCGAAUUAAUGUUCGAAUAUAGUUUAGUAACUAGGAAAUUCGAAUAAAUGUUUGAAUUUAAAUAGAAACCGUUAGGUGUUUGUUGGUCGAAUAAAUGUUCGAUAGUGAUUCACGUUCUUAAGAUUAUGUGUUGUCAUUUGAAGUAAUAUUCCGGUAGUUUUGUCUCUUUAAAGGGUCUCUGGUUCGCGGUCGUUUCGUUAAUAGUUUGUGUUUCAGUACUCUGGGUUGGACUGCUCGGGAAAACAGUCCCCACUCUGGUUUCUUCGCUGGCUAUUAUUUGGUUGUUCUUAGGGGUUCUGCCAGUGAGGAAUCUGCGAGUUGGUUGGGAAAAUCGGUUGUUUAUUCGCGGAUUCGUUAGGUGAUUAUUAGGGAUCGACCUUUGACUCGGAGUACCCUUUGAUGUUUGCGUCUUCCGUUUCGUUUUCCCCAAGAUUAUUGUAAUCUGACCCGCUCUGAGGCGGAGUUUCUAGUCGGGCAACCUUGAACGUGACAAGUGGUCCUCGUAAGAGGUGGCGCUUAAGCCACUUGUUCGUAGAUCUGGGAAACGAUACAGCAGACAGUUCCGUUACACCGUAGUGCACGCUACAAUACUGAGAUGACUAGACGAUAACCAAAAACUCGAGUACAGAGCGAACAUGUACGAUCCAUAAUGCCA